GAUGAACGCUGGCGGCGUGCCUAACACAUGCAAGUCGAACGGAGAUUACGGACGGAAGUUUUCGGAUGGAAGCCUGUAAUUCUUAGUGGCGGACGGGUGAGUAACGCGUGGGCAACCUGCCCUAUACAGGGGGAUAGCAGCUGGAAACGGCUGGUAAGACCGCAUAAGUCGGUUAAAUCGCAUGAUUUGAUCGGGAAAUGAGCAAUCAGGUAUAGGAUGGGCCCGCGUCCGAUUAGCCAGUUGGCAGGGUAAAAGCCUACCAAAGCGACGAUCGGUAGCCGGAAGGGGGGGUGGGACGGCAAAAUUGGGACUGGGCCCCGCCCAAAACCCCUCAGGGGGGGAGAAGGGGGGGAAAUGGAAAAAGGGGGGAAACUCUGAUGCGGGGGCGCCGGGGGAGGGAAGAAGUAUUUGGGUAGGAAAAGCUCUAUCAGCAGGGAAGAUGGUGGGGGGACCGGACUAAGAAGCCCCGGCAAACUAGGG
rnacentral:rRNA from 1 species